GUGCUUUGGUUACUCUUCAGAUCGAGUAAAUCUUUUGCCUUUUACUAAAGAUUUCCGUGGAGAGAAACAACUUUGAGUCAUAACCCAAUUUUUAAAAAAAAUUUUUUCUUCAUUUUU